rnacentral:rRNA from 1 species
UACGAAGGGGGCUAGCGUUGCUCGGAAUCACUUGGGCGUAAAGCGCACGUAGGCGGAUUGCUAAGUCAAGGGGUGAAAUCCUGGAGCUCAACUCCAGAACUGCCUUUGAUACUGGCGACCUUGAGUCCGGGAGAGGUGAGUGGAACUGCGAGUGUAGAGGUGAAAUUCGUAGAUAUUCGCAAGAACACCAGUGGCGAAGGCGGCUCACUGGCCCGGUACUGACGCUGAGGUGCGAAAGCGUGGGGAGCAAACAGGAU